rnacentral:rRNA from 1 species
GAUGAACGCUGGCGGCGUGCCUAAUACAUGCAAGUCGAGCGAACGGACGAGAAGCUUGCUUCUCUGAUGUUAGCGGCGGACGGGUGAGUAACACGUGGAUAACCUACCUAUAAGACUGGGAUAACUUCGGGAAACCGGAGCUAAUACCGGAUAAUAUUUUGAACCGCAUGGUUCAAAAGUGAAAGACGGUCUUGCUGUCACUUAUAGAUGGAUCCGCGCUGCAUUAGCUAGUUGGUAAGGUAACGGCUUACCAAGGCAACGAUGCAUAGCCGACCUGAGAGGGUGACCGGCCACACUGGAACUGGAACACGGUCCAGACUCCUACGGGAGGCAGCAGUAGGGAAUCUUCCGCAAUGGGCGAAAGCCUGACGGAGCAACGCCGCGUGAGUGAUGAAGGUCUUCGGAUCGUAAAACUCUGUUAUUAGGGAAGAACAUAUGUGUAAGUAACUGUGCACAUCUUGACGGUACCUAAUCAGAAAGCCACGGCUAACUACGUG